CUUCCCUCUUUCCCUUUCAGCUUUUUAUGCUUCUAAUCUUAAAUUUUUAUUGAAGCUAUUCCCCCAAGCAUUGCUUUCUGAUCAAAGCUGGCCGUCUCUGUUCUUUACUUUUGAUGUCGUUAACUACCUUCUUAUUCUUUGAAUUCCACUUUUGUCUCCAUUUUGAUAUCUCCUUUUCCUCCUAAUCCUCAGUCGUAAGAAAACUCUCUAGACAAAAUUGUUUCAUCUUCUGUGUUCCAGACGCUCUCGUUAAUACUCUAUUUUUAGCUUUGUCAUCACUCGUCCACAAAACUCUAGAAAGUCAGGACUACCUUCUAAUCAUUUUGAAAAAUCCUCUCAUACAGUGCCUGGCAGGUAGGUGGUAGAACUUAGUGUUUAAUUUUUCUCUGUCCAGUUCCAGUACUUCUUUUACACAGUUCGCUGUUUCAUAUUUUUCUAAAACCUCCCAAUGACUACCAAUUUUUUCUCUCUAGCCCCAAUUUGUUACUCAUUUUCCAAUCUUAAAUUGCCUUGCGAUCACCAGGAUGUCCUGCUGGCAGCCCAGUGUAAUAGAGUUCAUUUUCUCACCCCAGUCCCUGCAAACCCACUUCCCACAUAACUUUCCUAGUGGUCUUUGUUUAAUAAGCUGCUUGAAGCAUUUUUGAGUAAACUUAGGCAUCAAGGCACAUUUUGAUCCUUAUUCGUUAAGUAGCUCUCUCGCAUUACUGGGCCUGGAGUCUCCACUGUGCCGUAAUUCUCACAUUUUCUGGGUUGUCUUUAACUGUCUGUGGUAACGCCAUCUUCCCCAGGCCCCCAGGCUUAAGGAUACUUGUGGAUACAUCUUUUUCUCUCUCCUUUGUCCUCAGCCUCCAGGCGUUGCUGAUUCUUUCUCACUUGCUUUUCUAGCUCAUGUUUCUUGUUGAUUUCUAAGCCAUUUUCCUCUGCCUGAAUUAUUCUCAAUGGCCUUAUUUUUGGUGUCCCUCUUCUAGGCUUCCCUGCUCCAGUCUGUGCCAUGCUCAACUCUCAGAAUAAUCCUGUUAAACAGUAUUUUUGUGGUGUUAUUCUCCUGCUCAUAUAUCAAAAAAGGACUUUCUUUCCUGGAUUAAUGUUGAGAUCUUGCAUGAAGCCUCAUCUCUAGCUAGAAAAUCGGGGAGACCAGAGAUCUGAGGAUGAGAAAACAGAUGCCCAGACAGAAGGUGACUGACUGUUGGUCUCAUAGCAAUGCUUGGGGUGAACUAAUUAGAAAAGAGGAUUUAAGAACCACAGAUGUCCCCAGGGAAACCAGGGCUAUGUGCCCUGUGUGAAUGUUUUACUGACACCAGCUCAUUUAAUCUUCUUAUCAACCUUAAGGGCGAAAUCACCCUCACUGAUAACCUUGCCACGCGUAGUAGACAGAUGCAGCGCUACAAUCCCACUGUGGAGAGAUCUGGAGGACAGUGAUGGAGGAAAAUCUUCCCAGUGGGCAGAACUUGAGCAGUUCAUCUGGUUGUUUGUUUUGCCUGGAAGGAGCAAUGGCUAGAGGUAUGGGUUUACAUCGAUUCGUGGGCUGUGGCUACUGGUUUGGCUGGACGGUCAGGGACUUGGAAGAACCAUGAUUGGAAAAUUGAUGACAAGGAGGUCUGGAGAACAGGUAGGCAAAUAGGUUUCUCUGAAUGGAAAUGAAAGGGUAGACUCAGCAGAGGAGGAUUUUAAUAAUCAGGUGGACAGAAUGUCAUUCUGUGGAUGUCAGUCAGCCUCCUUCCCCAGCCAGUCCAGCCACUGCCCAAUGUCAGGGAUAAAGUUUAUGCAUGGGUCGUCAACAUGGACUUCCACUCACCAAGGCUGAUCUGGCUGUAACCACAGCCAAGUGCCCAGUCUGCCAGCACCAGAGACCAACACAGAGGACCUGAUAUGGUACUAUUCUCCAGGGUGAUCAGAUAGUUACCUGGUGACAGAUUGGUUACAUUGGGCCACUUUCACCAAGGAAGGGGCAGAGUUUUGUUCUUACUAGAAUGCUUACUCUGGUUAUAGAUAUGCCUUUCCUGCCCACAAUGCUUCGCCAAAACUACCAUCUGUGGACUUACAGAGGGCCUUAUCCACCAUUAAGUUAUUCCACACAGCAACAGCUCUGACUAGAAAUUCAUUUCACUGCAAAUGAAGUGAGACAGUUGGCUCCCACUCAUGGAAUUCAUUGAUCUGAGCAUAUCCCCCAUUAUCUGGAAGGAGCUGGCUUGAUAGAAUUGUGGAAAGGCCACUUCACAAUGUGGGUGAGGAGGAGGUUUGGGAAGCAGAAGAUCCCAGGGGCGCCUCUUAGAACUACUAUGUCCUGUGAUUAAAGUUCAUGGAAAAUUACAGAGCAAUUCAGGUAGGAUUAUUUUUUUUAUUUUUAUUUUUAUUUUUCUGUACGCAGGCCUCUCACUGUUGUGGUCUCUCCCGUUGCGGAG